rnacentral:rRNA from 1 species
GAUUCCCCUAGUAACGGCGAGUGAAGCGGGAAAAGCUCAAAUUUGAAAUCUGGCGGUCUACGGCCGUCCGAGUUGUAGUCUAGAGAGGUGUCUUCUGCGUCGGACCAUGCACAAGUCCCUUGGAACAGGGCGUCAUAGAGGGUGAGAAUCCCGUCCGUGGCAUGGACUCCCGGUGCUUUGUGAUGCGCCUUCGAAGAGUCGAGUUGUUUGGGAAUGCAGCUCAAAAUGGGUGGUAAAUUCCAUCUAAAGCUAAAUACAGGCGAGAGACCGAUAGCGAACAAGUACCGUGAGGGAAAGAUGAAAAGCACUUUGGAAAGAGAGUUAAACAGUACGUGAAAUUGUUGAAAGGGAAACGCUUGGAGUCAGUCGCGUUUGCCGGGACUCAGCCUUGCUUCUGCUUGGUGCACUUCCUGGUACACGGGCCAGCAUCGAUUUUGAUCGCCGGAAAAAGGCUUGGGGAAGGUGGCACCUUCGGGUGUGUUAUAGCCCCUUGUUGUAUACGGUGGUUGGGAUUGAGGACCGCAGCACGCCUUUUGGUCGGGGUUCGCCCACGCCACGUGCUUAGGAUGCUGGCGUAAUGGCUUUAAACGACCCGUCUUGAAACACGGACCAAGGAGUCUAACAUGCCUGCGAGUGUUUGGGUGUAAAACCCAGGCGCGUAAUGAAAGUGAAAGGUUGGGACUCUUCGCUGAGGCACCGACGCCCGAUCCUGACGUUCUCUGACGGAUUUGAGGUAGAGCAUGUAUGUUGGGACCCGAAAGAUGGUGAACUAUGCCUGAAUAGGGCGAAGCCAGAGGAAACUCUGGUGGAGGCUCGUAGCGAUUCUGACGUGCAAAUCGAUCGUCAAAUUUGGGUAUAGGGGGCGAAAGACUAAUCGAACCAUCUAGUAGCUGGGUUCCUGCC